rnacentral:rRNA from 1 species
CAAUAGCGUAUAUUUAAGUUGUUGCAGUUAAAAAGCUCGUAGUUGGAUUUCGGGUAGGAUUUGCCGGUCCGUCUUUGAGAUGUGUACUGGUAAGUCCUAUCUUCUUGUCGGGGACCAGCUCCUGGGCUUCACUGUCCGGGACUGGGAGCCGACGAAGUUACUUUGAGUAAAUUAGAGUGUUCAAAGCAAGCCUACGCUCUGAAUAUAUUAGCAUGGAAUAACACGAUAGGACUCUGGCUUAUCUUGUUGGUCUGUGAGACCAGAGUAAUGAUUAAGAGGGACAGUCGGGGACAUUCGUAUUUCAUUGUCAGAGGUGAAAUUCUUGGAUUUCUGAAAGACGAACCACUGCGAAAGCAUUUACCAAGGAUGUUUUCAUUA